UUGUGCUAAGGUAGCAUAAUCAUUUGUCUUUUGAUUGAAGACUAGAACAAAAGAUUGAACAAUUUAAUUAAUAUAUAAUUGUUAAUAAUUCAAAUUUAUUUUAAAAGUAAAAAAACUUUUAUAAUUAAGGAAGACGACAAGACCCUAUUAAACUUAACUUUAGUUAAACUGGGGCAGUUAAUUAAUUAUUAUUUUAAUAAAAAUAUAAAAAUAAAUGAUCCAAUAAAACUGAUUAAAUGAUCNAGUUACUAUAGGGAUAACAGCGUAAUAUUAAUAUAAAGAUCUUAUAUAAAU
rnacentral:rRNA from 1 species